GGGCUUGGAAACCGCCCAGGCCACGCCUAUAUUCGCGUCGUUCGGCUUCGGCCGGACUAUGGCGAUAAAGGCGCCUGUAAUAAGCGGACCGGACCCGGGUGCGAUUCCCGGCGGCUCCACCAUUUCUCCC
rnacentral:tmRNA from 1 species